rnacentral:rRNA from 1 species
GCUAAACGCGAAGAACCUUACCAACCCUUGACAUGGGACGUAUGGGCACCAGAGAUGGUGUUCUUCAGUUCGGCUGGCGUCCACACAGGUGCUGCAUGGCUGUCGUCAGCUCGUGUCGUGAGAUGUUGGGUUAAGUCCCGCAACGAGCGCAACCCUCAUCUUCAGUUGCCAUCAUUUAGUUGGGCACUCUGAAGAAACUGCCGGUGACAAGCCGGAGGAAGGCGGGGAUGACGUCAAGUCCUCAUGGCCCUUACGGGUUGGGCUACACACGUGCUACAAUGGUGGUGACAAUGGGGAGCGAGGCCGCGAGGCCAAGCCAAUCUCAAAAAGCCAUCUCAGUUCGGAUUGCACUCUGCAACUCGAGUGCAUGAAGUUGGAAUCGCUAGUAAUCGCGCAUCAGCAUGGCGCGGUGAAUACGUUCCCGGGUCUUGUACACACCGG